AGCAGCCGCGGUAAUUCCAGCUCCAAUAGCGUAUAUUAAAGUUGCUGCAGUUAAAAAGCUCGUAGUUGAAUUUCGGGACCAUCAUGUCGGUCGUGCCUCGGUACGUACUGGCAUUGUUGGUUUCUACCUUCUGACGAACCAUGAUGUCAUUUAUUUGGUGUCCUGGGGAAUCAGGACUGUUACUUUGAAAAAUUAGAGUGUUUAAAGCAGGCUCGCGCUUGAAUACAUUAGCAUGGAAUAAUGAAAUAGGACGUUUGAUUCUAUUUUGUUGGUUUCUAGGAUCGACGUAAUGAUUAAUAGGGAUAGUUGGGGGCAUUAGUAUUCAAUUGUCAGAGGUGAAAUUCUUGGAUUUAUUGAAGACUAACUACUGCGAAAGCAUUUGCCAAGGAUGUUUUCAUUAAUCAAGAACGAAAGUUAGGGGAUCGAAGACGAUCAGAUACCGUCGUAGUCUUAAACCAUAAACUAUGCCGACUAGGGAUCGGAUGAUGUUAAUUUUAAUGA
rnacentral:misc_RNA from 1 species